rnacentral:rRNA from 1 species
UACGAAGGGUGCAAGCGUUAAUCGGAAUUACUGGGCGUAAAGCGUGCGUAGGUGGUUGUUCAAGUCUGUCGUGAAAGCCCUGGGCUCAACCUGGGAAUGGCGAUGGAAACUGGGCGACUGGAGUGCGGUAGAGGAUGGCGGAAUUCCCGGUGUAGCAGUGAAAUGCGUAGAGAUCGGGAGGAACAUCUGUGGCGAAGGCGACUGCCUGGACCAGCACUGACACUGAGGCACGAAAGCGUGGGGAGCAAACAGGAUUAGAUACCCUGGUAGUCCACGCCCUAAACGAUGCGAACUGGAUGUUGGGCUCAACUUGGAGCUCAGUAUCGAAGCUAACGCGUUAAGUUCGCCGCCUGGGGAGUACGGUCGCAAGACUAAACUCAAAG